GCAAGUCGAGCGCGCCCUUCGGGGUGAGCGGCGGACGGGUGAGUAACGCGUGGGAACGUGCCCUUUGCUGCGGAAUAGCCACUGGAAACGGUGAGUAAUACCGCAUGAGCCCUUCGGGGGAAAGAUUUAUCGGCAAGGGAUCGGCCCGCGUUGGAUUAGGUAGUUGGUGGGGUAAUGGCCUACCAAGCCGACGAUCCAUAGCUGGUUUCAGAGGAUGAUCAGCCACACUGGGACUGAGACACGGCCCAGACUCCUACGGGAGGCAGCAGUGGGGAAUCUUAGACAAUGGGCGCAAGCCUGAUCUAGCCAUGCCGCGUGAGUGACGAAGGCCCUAGGGUCGUAAAGCUCUUUCGCCUGUGAAGAUAAUGACGGUAGCAGGUAAAGAAACCCCGGCUAACUCCGUGCCAGCAGCCGCGGUAAUACGGAGGGGGUUAGCGUUGUUCGGAAUUACUGGGCGUAAAGCGCGCGUAGGCGGACCAUCAAGUUGGGGGUGAAAUCCCGGGGCUCAACCCCGGAACUGCCUCCAAAACUGGCGGUCUGGAGUUCGAGAGAGGUGAGUGGAAUUCCGAGUGUAGAGGUGAAAUUCGUAGAUAUUCGGAGGAACACCAGUGGCGAAGGCGGCUCACUGGCUCGAGACUGACGCUGAGGUGCGAAAGUGUGGGGAGCAAACAGGAUUAGAUACCCUGGUAGUCCACACCGUAAACGAUGAAUGCCAGUCGUCGGCAAGCAUGCUUGUCGGUGACACACCUAACGGAUUAAGCAUUCCGCCUGGGGAGUACGGCCGCAAGGUUACAACUCAAAGGAAUUGACGGAU
rnacentral:rRNA from 1 species